rnacentral:rRNA from 1 species
GAUGAACGCUGGCGGCGUGCUUAACACAUGCAAGUCGAACGGUGAAGGCGGAGCUUGCUCUGCUGGAUCAGUGGCGAACGGGUGAGUAACACGUGAGCAAUCUGCCCCUGACUCUGGGAUAGGCGCUGGAAACGGCGUCUAAUACUGGAUACGAGCUGCGAAGGCAUCUUCAGCAGCUGGAAAGAAUUUCGGUCAGGGAUGAGCUCGCGGCCUAUCAGCUUGUUGGUGAGGUAAUGGCUCACCAAGGCGUCGACGGGUAGCCGGCCUGAGAGGGUGACCGGCCACACUGGGACUGAGACACGGCCCAGACUCCUACGGGAGGCAGCAGUGGGGAAUAUUGCACAAUGGGCGAAAGCCUGAUGCAGCAACGCCGCGUGAGGGACGACGGCCUUCGGGUUGUAAACCUCUUUUAGUAGGGAAGAAGCGAAAGUGACGGUACCUGCAGAAAAAGCGCCGGCUAACUACGUG